GUGAAUCAUCGAAUCUUUGAACGCAAAUUGCGCUCUCUGGUAUUCCGGGGAGUAUGCCUGUUUGAGGGUCAGUUUAAAUAAAAAUCGAUGUGGCUGCUGCCUUUUGUGGUGACUCACCGGAUUUGGUUCAACUUGCCUUCGGGUAAGUGCCCUAAAAUUUCGCAUGAUAUUUUUCUAACGUAUUUAACUGAUUAUACGUACGUUUGCGAUAUCAAACACUAGGUUUGGUCAUCUUAAUUAUGAUC
rnacentral:misc_RNA from 1 species